ACUAGUUCUCUCCCAUAGGUCUCAUCUUGUCAUCCCGUGUAAAUAGACACAACCUUUGAAGACAACUGAUAUGAGUGUAUCAAACUGUCUGGAGGUCUGGACCUAUAGCCGGGAGCAGUGGGCUAUCCUGUUUCUCUUGGGCCUGUGAAAUGCUCAACAAAUUGUGUGAGGAGUUGGAUUGGGCGGAUUUCGCAAUUCCCUUCUCAGACCGGUGUAUUGGGCAGUUCGAUGUUACAGUCUAUCAGGUUGCGUGAUCCUUGUAAUGUUACGGGGAAAAUACAAUAAUGGGAUGCAGAAUUAAAUGUAUAUCACACUCGCACAAAUGCGACCAGUUA